GAUGAACGCUGGCGGCGUGCCUAAUACAUGCAAGUCGAGCGAAGCGGGGACGGGUGAGUAACACGUGGAUAACCUCCUAUAAGACUGGGAUAACUUAGGGAAACCGGAGCUAAACCGGAUACUUAUGACUGGAUCUGCGCUGCAUUGGCUAGUUGGUAAGGUAACGGCUUACAAAGGCAACGAUGCAUAGCGGACCGGAGAGGGUGAUCGGCCACACGGGAACGGAGCCACGGUCCAGACUCCUACGGGAGGCAGCAGUGGGGAAUCUUCCGCAAUGGGCGAAAGCCUGACGGAGCAACGCCGCGUGAGUGUUGAAGGUCUUCGGAUCGUAAAACUUUGUUAUUAGGGAAGCGGUACCUAAUCAGAAAGCCACGGCUAACUACGUGCCAGCAGCCGCGGUAAUAC
rnacentral:rRNA from 1 species